rnacentral:misc_RNA from 1 species
ACACCCCAACUCCCUUUCUCUGCUUCAAAAAAGCGUACUAUUAACUGAUAGUAAUUGCCUUUCGAUUAAAUAAUAAUAAUAGUAAUAAACCAUAACUUGAUCUUGAUCAUCUCUGUUUCACUCGAGUUAUGAUCUCACCAAAAUUGGAUACUUGAUUCCCAGUUUACCUUCAUCUUUACUAUCUCAUUACCAUUUGUAGAACCGCUCCUCUUGCUCCUUGAAUCUCUUCAAUAC